rnacentral:rRNA from 1 species
GGGAGGCAUCUCCCCCCGCAUGAAAGAUGGCCUAUACAUGUAAGCUAUCACUGAUCGAUGGGUCUGCGUCUGAUUAGCUGGUAGGUAAGGUAACGGCUUACCUAGGCGACGAUCAGUAGCCGGUCUGAGAGGAUGAACGGCCACAUUGGGACUGAGACACGGCCCAGACUCCUACGGGAGGCAGCAGUGGGGAAUCUUCCGCAAUGGGCGCAAGCCUGACGGAGCAACGCCGCGUGAGUGAAGAAGGUCUUCGGAUCGUAAAGCUCUGUUGAAGGGGACGAACGAUCGAGGGGCGAACAGGCUCUCGGUAUGACGGUACCUUUGA